rnacentral:rRNA from 1 species
UACGAAGGGGGCUAGCGUUGCUCGGAAUCACUGGGCGUAAAGGGCGCGUAGGCGGCCUUCUAAGUCAGACGUGAAAUCCCUCGGCUCAACCGAGGAACUGCGUCUGAUACUGGAAGGCUUGAAUCCGGGAGAGGGAUGUGGAAUUCCAGGUGUAGCGGUGAAAUGCGUAGAUAUCUGGAGGAACACCGGUGGCGAAGGCGGCAUCCUGGACCGGUAUUGACGCUGAGGCGCGAAAGCUAGGGGAGCAAACGGG